AACCUUAGACAAUGUGGGCAAUGCUGUCAUAGCCAUGCCUCGAGAUUGAUUUUUGCCAAAUGUAUGUAAAGCACUUUCAGCUGUGAAGAUAAUGACGGUAGAAGCAGAAGAAGAAUUGGCCAAAUCCGUCCCAGCAGGCGCGGUAAUACGGAGGGGACUAGCGUUGUUCGGAAUUACUGGGCGUAAAGCGCACGUAGGCGGACCGGAAAGUUGGGUGUGUAAUCCCGGGGCUCAAUCCCCGAACUGCCUUCAUAACUAUCGGUCUGGAGUUCGAGAGAGGUGAUUGGAAUUCCGAGUGUAGAGGUGAAAUUCGUAGAUAUUCGGAGGAACACCAGUGGCGAAGGCGGCUCACUGGCUCGAUACUGACGCUGAGGUGCGAAUGCGUGCGGAGCAAACA
rnacentral:rRNA from 1 species